GCUGAGCAAGGGCGAAUUAGGGACUUUCAAAUCCCUCUUAUGGCUUUUCCCCUAGAAGAUGUGCUACAGAAGACCCCAUGGUCUGAGGCGGAAGAGGCCAAUGGCAAGAAACUGGCAGAAAUUCUGGACAACACAUCCUCAGAAUGUUGGAUAAAAAAUGCGACUGUGAAGAUCUUGGAACAGAGGAAUCUUCCGGAAUUGUCUCAGAUGGCAAAGGUUGAGUUGCUGGAUGACAGACAGGUGGAAGACGCAGAUAACCCUGAGCUCAGAGACUCAAAAGAGGUCUUGGAGUUAGCAAAGCCAGGUGAGAAGGAAGGAUGGAGAAACGUGAUGGACGAACAGUCUUUGGUCCGGAGGAACAGCUUUUGGCGAGGAGACAGUGACAAUUUCCACGACCAUGUCACUCAGAGAAACCAAAGGUUCAUUCCAUUCUUGAAUCCCAGCAGACCACGUAGCUAUCACCUUACACGGUGGGUCUGCAGGGUCCUGCGGGAGUGGGGAAAACCACGGCGGCUUAAAAAGUGUAUGCUGGACUGGAAAGACUACAACCUCGGCCCGAAGGCCAGAUACGCUUUCUACAUCAGCUGCAAGGGGCUCAGUCACCUGGGCCCCUGCAGUUUUGCAGAGCUGAUUGCCAAAGACCGGCCUGAAUUGCAGGAUGUCAUUGCAAACAUCCUAGGCUAAGCUCAGAGAAUCCAGCUCAUGGUCAACGCCUUGAUGAGCUGAGCGUCCCACCCGGGGCGCUGAUCCAGGACAUCUUCGGGGACUGGAAGAAACUGAAGCCGGUGCCGGUCCUCCUGGGGAGUUUGCUGAAGAGGAAGAUGUUACCCGAGGCCACCCUGCUGGUCACCGCGGGACCCAGGUCCCUGAAGGACCUGCAGCUCCUGGCCGAGAAGCCCAUCAACAUAAGAGUGGAGGGGUUCCUGGAGGAGGACAGGAAGGCUUAUUUCCUGAGACACUUUGGAGAGGAGGACCAAGCCAUGCGUGCCUGUGAACUUUUGAGAAGCAAGGCACCCUGUUCCUGCUGGGCUCGGCGCCCACGGUGUGCUAAACCAUGUGAAGAGUCUGAAGCUGCAGAUGGAGAAGCGGGGAGGACCCGGUCCCCACCUGCCACACCCACACAGGGCCAUUCCAGCACUUUCUCUGCAGCCGCUUCCUGCAGGGUGCACAGCUUUGGGACGAGCUUCGGGCGCUGAGCCUCCUGGCUGCGCAGGGCCUGUGGGCGCAGAUGUCCGUAUUUCAUGGUGAGGACCUGGAGAGGUUCGGGCGCAGGAGUCUGACCUCCGCAGGUUCCUGGAUAGAGGCAUCCUACGCCAGGACAGAGCCGCCAGAGGUCAGCGCAGCAAGGCGGGGUCCUCCCCUGCAUCUGCAGCGAGGCAGGCGGGCGGGAAGCUGAGGACCUGCGAUCUCGUGAGACACCGGUGCCCUCCCCUCCAGGGAGCAGAGGCAGCUCUGGAAGUCAGUUUAAUGCGGACACCGCGACCGGCGGGGCGCAGAACACUUCUCCCAGCGUCCUGGGCUCCGCGAGCACAAUUUUAAAACCAGCGGCGAAAUCCGAUCCUUCCGCAGUGGAGCGCGGCCGCCGCUCCGAGCGCCAUCUCAGACUCCACCGGCUUCUGUGCCGCGAGUCACCCCGGGUCGGCCCUCGGGGCUGGGUAGGCGGGCGCCGCGCCGAGUUUCUGCCCCUCCCGCGCGGAACGGUGGUCGCCGCUGCGCGACCCGGAGGGGUUAACCGUGACCGGGCGCGCGUGAGGCUCCGGAGCACUAGCCGGGCGCAGCCCGCGGGGGUGCACAGGGGCGCGCGGGAGCUGGGAUGGAGGACGUCUUGGCCGGGCCCCUGCACCGGGCGGCGGCGGAGGCGGCCGAGGCAUGAGCGCGGCCCGGGGUGACGCUGCUGCCCUUAGUGCCCCUCACAGGGACUGCGGAGGCGGACGAGGGCGGCGGCCACUGGAGCUUCAUUGACUGCGAGAUGGAGGAGGUGGACCUGCAGGACCUGCCCAGCGCCACCAUCGCCUGCCACCCGGACCCGCCCUUGUUCAUGGACGGCCUGUGCCGGGCCAAAUUUGAGUCUGUCUUUAGGACAUAUGGCAAGGACAUCGCCUUUCAGUAUUUUAAGAGUUUCAAACGAGUCAGAAUAAACUUCAGCAACCUCUUCUCCGCAGCAGAUGUCAGGCUCCAGCUGCAUAAGACUGAGUUUCUGGGAAAGGAAAUGAAGUUAUAUUUUGCUCAGACCUUACACAUAGGAAGCUCGCACCUGGCUCCGCCAAACCCCGACAAGCAGUUUCUGAUCUCCCCUCCCGCCUCUCCACCAGUGGGGUGGAAACAAGUGGAAGACGCAACCCCAGUCAUAAACUAUGAUCUCUUAUAUGCUAUCUCCAAGCUGGGGCCAGGGGAAAAGUAUGAAUUGCAUGCAGCGACUGACACCACUCCCAGCGCGGUAGUCCACGUAUGUGAGAGCGAUGAAGAGGAGGAGGAAGAAGAGGAGAUGGAGAGAAUGAAGAGACCCAAGCCAAAAAUUAUCCAGACCAGGAAGCCGGAGUACACGCCGAUCCACCUCAGCUGACCUGGCACGUGAGGAGGAUGCAUUCCAAAUCAUACUCAUGGGAGGAAUCUUACUGUGGAGGUGGCUGGUCACGACUUCUUCGGAGGUGGGAGCCAAGAUUGGGGUGGCAGAAAUCCCAGUUCAUGUUGCUCAGAAGAGAAUCAAGGCUGUGUCCCCUUGUUCUAAUGCUGCACACCAGUGACUGUUCAUGGCACCCGGGAAUGGCUUGGGCCAAUCCCCAAGUUUGUGGUGAUUGCACAAGGACAUUUGGGACUGUCUUGAGAAAACUGAUCAUGAUAGUAUUUUGUACUUGUUCUUCUCUGGUAGGUUCUGUCUGUGCCAAGGGCAGACUGGUCAGUGGGUUCAGGAGAGAGCUUCCUGUUUCUAAGCAGCCCGCAGGGUCCACUCUCUACUGGUAGGAGGAGGUACCACAGGAAGCCUCCUAGUGCAGAGAGGUCAUGAACACAGCAGCAAUGCAGCGUGGAAAUUGUCGCGUUUCCUUUCUUCCCUCAUGUUCUCAGGUUUGUGCAUGUAUAGUACUGAUUUUCAAAACUAACCUUUGUUCGUAUAUGAAGUUACACCGUGGUUUUACAUCUUUUUGGAAGACAGGAAAGCAUCUGGAAAACUUAUCAUCUUUCCCAGAUUCUCAUUCUCGACGCUCUUUGCAACAGCACUCGCUGGUGGAACUCUUCCUGGAAUACGUUCAUUCACUCGGAGUCCUAAACUGUGCGACACGUAACCUGUACUUCUGCAAAAGCAGUUGAUCUGAAGUUUCUCUGUAGUGUUUAGCUUAUACAAUUCAGAGAAUAGCAGUUUCACUGCCAACUCUCAGUGGGUGAGACAUUUUACUUUCGGUGUUUGGAGUCGGACAUCAGUUUCUGUUAUUUCUUUGAUGUGGUGGUUUCUAUACAUGAAUCUUUUCCAACAAAAACUUUUUUGGAAACUGUUGGUUGAGAUAGUUGGGUAUUUUUACCCCACUGAGACAUCGAGAAAAAACUUGUAAAUAAAGCUGAUAGCAUAUAUUCAUACCUGUUGUACACUUGGGUGAAAAGUAUGGCAGUGGGAGACUGAGUUGUAUUAACCUACCUGUGAAUGGUAUGUUGUAGAAAAUGCUGUCCCCAACGUCUAACAGGAUUUGAAUUCAAAGCAUGUCAAGUGGACAGUAGCUCUGUGGUGAUAUGAGAGGGAUGCAGUGCCUUUCUCCAUUAAUUCCUGCUGGAAUUCUUAUGCUAGAUUAACAUUUGUAAUGUUUUUCUAGUUGUAACAUGUAUGUCUGGUAAAUAGGUAUUAUAUUUUGGCCUUACAAUGCCAUAACAAAGUUUGUCAUUUUGAAAUACCUAAUGCCAAGUAACAAUGCAUGCUUUGGAAAUUGGGAAGAUGGUUUUAUUAAAUGCUUUGAUUGUUUAUAUCAAGAAAUUGAUUGAACGUUCUCACACCCUGUUUAUGGUACUUGGUAUGAAGGAGCCUGUUUUGGAGAGACCAUUGCAUCACCAUCUAGGUAUUUCUAGUUAAGUGCUUUUAAACUGGAGAGGCUAACCUCAAAAAAUAUAUUUUUAACUGCAUUCUAUAAUAAAUGGGCACAGUAUGCUCCUUAUGUAAAAAAAUCAACAACAAUAAAUCUAGAAACCAAUCAAAUUUCUAUCAUUUCAAGCCAUAAUUAUUUCAAUUGUUUCAGGUUAUAGAGCUAU